rfam:Zootermopsis nevadensis contig3107, whole genome shotgun sequence.
GCCACGGUGGUCUAGCGGUUAGAACGCUGGCCUUGUAAUCCCGGGGGUCUCGGGUUCGAUUCCCGGCGGUGCCC